GAUGAACGCUGGCGGCGUGCCUAAUACAUGCAAGUCGAGCGAACAGACGAGGAGCUUGCUCCUCUGACGUUAGCGGCGGACGGGUGAGUAACACGUGGAUAACCUACCUAUAAGACUGGGAUAACUUCGGGAAACCGGAGCUAAUACCGGAUAAUAUAUUGAACCGCAUGGUUCAAUAGUGAAAGACGGUUUUGCUGUCACUUAUAGAUGGAUCCACGCCGCAUUAGCUAGUUGGUAAGGUAACGGCUUACCAAGGCAACGAUGCGUAGCCGACCUGAGAGGGUGAUCGGCCACACUGGAACUGAGACACGGUCCAGACUCCUACGGGAGGCAGCAGUAGGGAAUCUUCCGCAAUGGGCGAAAGCCUGACGGAGCAACGCCGCGUGAGCGAUGAAGGUCUUCGGAUCGUAAAACUCUGUUAUUAGGGAAGAACAAAUGUGUAAGUAACUAUGCACGUCUUGACGGCACCUAAUCAGAAAGCCACGGCUAACUACGUG
rnacentral:rRNA from 1 species